rnacentral:rRNA from 1 species
UGGGGAAUUUUGGACAAUGGGGGCAACCCUGAUCCAGCCAUUCCGCGUGAGUGAAGAAGGCCUUCGGGUUGUAAAGCUCUUUUAGCAGGAACGAAACGGCUCUCUCUAACAUAGGGAGUUAAUGAUGGUACCUGAAGAAGAAGCACCGGCUAACUACGUGCCAGCAGCCGCGGUAAUACGUAGGGUGCGAGCGUUAAUCGGAAUUACUGGGCGUAAAGCGUGCGCAGGCGGCGCCAUAAGACAGAUGUGAAAUCCCCGGGCUUAACCUGGGAACUGCGUUUGUGACUGUGGUGCUCGAGUGUGGCAGAGGGGGGUGGAAUUCCACGUGUAGCAGUGAAAUGCGUAGGGAUGUGGAGGAACACCGAUGGCGAAGGCAGCCCCCUGGGUCAACACUGACGCUCAUGCACGAAAUCGUGGGGAGCAAACAG